AGUGAACGCUGGCGGUAGGCCUAACACAUGCAAGUCGAACGGAAACACAGUAAGAGUUCUCUCUUACGGGUGGCGACUGGCGGAUGGGUGAGGAAUACAUCGGAAUCCACUUUUUCGGGGGGGAUUACGUAAGGAAGCUUCCGCUAAUACAGCAUAUGAUCUACGGCUGAAAGCAGGAGAUAAUCGGAGCUUUCGCGUCUCAAUGAGCCGAUGGCGAAUUAGCUAGUCGGCGGGGUAAAGGCCCACCAAGGCGACGAUCCGUAGCUGGUCUGAGAGGAUGAUCAGCCACACUGGAACUGAGACACGGUCCAGACUCCUACGGGAGGCAGCAGUGGGGAAUAUUCGCCAAUGGGCGCAAGCCUGAUCCAGCCAUACCGCGUGGGUGAAGAAGGCCUUCGGGUUGUAAAGCCCUUUUGUUGGGAAAGAAAAGCAGCAGGUUAAUACCCCGCUGUUCUGACGGUACCCAAAGAAUAAGCACCGGCUAACUUCGUG
rnacentral:rRNA from 1 species